rnacentral:rRNA from 1 species
AUUGAACGCUGGCGGCAUGCCUUACACAUGCAAGUCGAACGGUAACGGGCCUUCCGUUGCCGACGAGUGGCGGACGGGUGAGUAAUACAUCGGAACGUGCACGAUCGUUGGGGAUAACGAGGCGCAAGCUUUGCUAAUACCUCAUACGAGCUACGGUUGAAAGCCGGGGACCGCAAUGCCUUGCGCGGACGGUGCGGCCGAUGGUAGAUUAGGUAGUUGGUGGGAUACAAGCUUACCAAGCCGAGGAUCUGUAGCUGGUCGGUGGGGAGGAUCAGCCACACUGGGACUGGGAAACGGCCCAGACUCCUACGGGAGGCAGCGGUGGGGAAUUUUGGAAAAUGGGCGCAAGCCUGAUCAAGCCAUGCGGGGUGCAGGAUGAAGGCCUUCGGGUGGUAAACUGCUUUUGUACGGAACGAAAGGCGUUCUUUAAUACAGGAGGGUCAUGACGGUACCGUAAGAAUAAGCACCGGCUAACUACGUG